UUUAUUUGAGAGUUUGAUCCUGGCUCAGGAUGAACGCUGGCGGCGUGCCUAACACAUGCAAGUUGAGCGAUUUACUUCGGUAAAGAGCGGCGGACGGGUGAGUAACGCGUGGGUAACCUACCCUGUACACACGGAUAACAUACCGAAAGGUAUGCUAAUACGGGAUAAUAUAUUUGAGAGGCAUCUCUUAAAUAUCAAAGGUGAGCCAGUACAGGAUGGACCCGCGUCUGAUUAGCUAGUUGGUAAGGUAACGGCUUACCAAGGCGACGAUCAGUAGCCGACCUGAGAGGGUGAUCGGCCACAUUGGAACUGAGACACGGUCCAAACUCCUACGGGAGGCAGCAGUGGGGAAUAUUGCACAAUGGGCGAAAGCCUGAUGCAGCAACGCCGCGU
rnacentral:rRNA from 1 species